CUACGGGAGGCAGCAGUAAGGAAUAUUGCGCAAUGGGCGAAAGCCUGACGCAGCGACGCCGCGUGGGGGAUGAAGGUCUUCGGAUUGUAAACCCCUUUCGGGAGGGAAGAUGGGAUGGGGUAACC
rnacentral:rRNA from 1 species